UACGUAGGGUGCGAGCGUUGUCCGGAAUUAUUGGGCGUAAAGAGCUUGUAGGCGGUUUGUCGCGUCUGCUGUGAAACUCGUCAAGGCUCAACCUUGAGCUUGCAGUGGGUACGGGCGAGACGUAGAGUGUGGUAGGGGAGACUGGAAUUCCUGGUGAUAGCGGUGAAAUGCGCGAGAUAGUCAGGAGGAACACCCGAUGGCGAAGGCAGGUCUCUGGGGCCAAC
rnacentral:rRNA from 1 species